ACAUGGCAGACGGCUGCGUAACACGUUGGAACCUACCCCGAACCUCAGGGAUAACCCUCCCGAAAGGAGGAGUAAUACCGAAUACACUCGCAAGAGGAAAGCUUUAGCGGUUUGGGAGGGGCCUGCGGCCUAUCAGUUAGUUGGUGAGGUAACGGCUCACCAAGACGAUGACGGGUAGCUGAUCUGAGAGGAUGAUCAGCCAGAAUGGAACUGCGACACGGUCCAU
rnacentral:rRNA from 1 species